rnacentral:rRNA from 1 species
UGAACGCUAGCGGCAGGCUUAACACAUGCAAGUCAGGGGCAGCAUGAUGAAACUUCGGGUUUCAUUGAUGGCGACCGGCGCAAGGGUGCGUAACGCGUGAGCAACUUGCCCUUAUCAGGGGAAUAACCGGUGGAAACGCCGACUAAUACCCCAUAGUAUCACUUGAAGGCAUCUUUUAGUGAUUAAAGAUUUAUCGAUUAUGGAUAGGCAUGCGCAUGAUUAGCUAGUUGGUGAGGUAACGGCUCACCAAGGCGACGAUCAUUAGGGGUUCUGAGAGGAAGGUCCCCCACACUGGUACUGAGACACGGACCAGACUCCUACGGGAGGCAGCAGUGAGGAAUAUUGGUCAAUGGACGAGAGUCUGAACCAGCCAAGUCGCGUGAAGGAAGACUGCCCUAAGGGUUGUAAACUUCUUUUGUAUGGGAAUAAAAAAUGGGACGAGUCCUAUAUUGUAUGUACCAUACGAAUAAGGAUCGGCUAACUCCGUG